rnacentral:rRNA from 1 species
GCGAUCAUACCAGCACUAAUGCACCGGAUCCCAUCAAAACUCCGAAGUUAAGCGUGCUUGGGCGAGAGCAGUACUAGGAUGGGUGACCCACUGGGAAGUCCUCGUGUUGCACCU